rnacentral:rRNA from 1 species
AGUGAACGCUGGCGGUAGGCCUAACACAUGCAAGUCGAACGGCAGCACAGUAAGAGCUUGCUCUUACGGGUGGCGAGUGGCGGACGGGUGAGGAAUACAUCGGAAUCUACUUUUUCGUGGGGGAUAACGUAGGGAAACUUACGCUAAUACCGCAUACGACCUACGGGUGAAAGCAGGGGAUCUUCGGACCUUGCGCGAUUGAAUGAGCCGAUGUCGGAUUAGCUAGUUGGCGGGGUAAAGGCCCACCAAGGCGACGAUCCGUAGCUGGUCUGAGAGGAUGAUCAGCCACACUGGAACUGGGACACGGUCCAGACUCCUACGGGAGGCAGCAGUGGGGAAUAUUGGACAAUGGGCGCAAGCCUGAUCCAGCCAUACCGCGUGGGUGAAGAAGGCCUUCGGGUUGUAAAGCCCUUUUGUUGGGAAAGAAAAGCAGCAGGUUAAUACCCCGCUGUUCUGACGGUACCCAAAGAAUAAGCACCGGCUAACUACGUG